CUGCCCCGGCGCGCGCCGGCGGGAAGGCGUGUGUCUGCGCCGUGGCCGCCGCCGCCGCCGCCGCUGCCGCCUGUCGCUGAGCCUGGCAUCUCCGAGCCCCCGCGCGGGGGGCUGCCGCCCAGCGCUGAUUGACAGCCCGCCUCGCCAAUGCCUGGAGGGAGAAAGGAGACCAAGGUGGCCUGGAAUCUCACUUCCUGCGUUGCUCAUACUAACUGGCAUACCACCAGGCCAGGAUUCUGUGGAGCCCUGGAUCUCAGUACUUGUUUGAAUGACGAAGACCUCAGCAGUUAGUCGGGAAGCUCCGUCAGCGUUUCUUCUCCCUGGCUUCUGAAAACUGCUAAAUGAGGACACGUGGAUCACCAGGAAGAAAAGGAGAUGAGCAUGAGAGGGACAGUUAAGAAAUAAUGAAAUGCUGGUGAAAGACAGAGAGAAUGAGAUGCCAAGGAGAUGUUUCUUAGGCACCUCUUCAGUACAAAUGAAAUAGAGCCAAGCACUUACAAAAUCAGAAGUAGCACCAAGUAAACGUCUUGUUCUGCUCUGUGGUCUGAAUCAUUGGACAGUGACUUUGCCGCCAUCUGCUCUUGGGGACCUUACAGAGGCUGAUUGGACGUGAAAGGGCGUGGCGGCUCUAGAACCAGAGACACAGCCUAGGAGGGAAAGAUGCAGUCUAACUGAAUCGUGACGGAGAUCUCAGUUCAUCCAAAUUCAUCAUCCAUUCACCCAGCCCAAGGAGCCUCAAACUUGCAAUAUGGUGAAGGAUGACCUUGAACGUCUGACUCUCCUGCCUGUAACUCUCAACUGCUGGAAUUGUGUUUUAGGGUUUUUGCAGUGGGUGAUCAAAUGCAGGGCCUUGUGCUUCCCAGGCAAGUACUCAAUCACCUGGUAUAUACCCCAACACCUAUGUGCUGUUUAGUUUUAUGUCAACUUGAUGUGUUAGAGUCAUUUUUAAGUAGGGAACUCCAGCUGAGAAAAUGCUCCUAUCAGAUUGGCCUUCUAUACUGAAGAUUGAUGUUGGAGAGCCUAGCUCAAUGUGGGCAGUGCCAUCCUUGAGUUGGUGGUCCUGGGUUCUAUAAGAAGCAGGCCAAGCAAGCCACAAGGAGCAAGCCAGUAAGCAACACCCCUCCAUGGUGUCUGCAGCAGUUCCUGCCUUAAGUCCCUGCUCUGACUUCCUUUGACAAUGGACUGUGAUGUGCAAGUAUGAGCCAAAGAAACCGUUUCCUCCCCAAGUUCUGUUUGGUCAUGGUCUCCCAUCACAGCAAUGGAAACCCUGACUAAGACGAGAGUUACUUUGAUAAAAAGACUGAUAGUUUACAUGUGAGAAGGCCAUCCCAUAAGAACAAUCCAACCCAAAGGACAACAAGUACAACAGCUGUUAGGUGGGGUGAUUUGAGGGAGCAGAGAGAAAGGUAAGAGGUUAGGAGUGUCAGGCAAACAGCAGAACAAAGAUGGCUCUGAGAGCAGGCGCAGGCUGAGCAGGGCCAGGUUUGUCAAAAGAAAUAUCAGACUCAUUGUAACUGUAGUGGGACUUGGAGGGAGUUAAGCUGUGGAGUGACAUGACCAGAUUUGUGUUCUUAAAUCUGGUCGUGUUACUCCACAGUGGCAGUGUGGUGCACACCUUUAAACCCCGCACUUGGGAAUCAGAGGCAGAGGUAUUUUUGAGUUUGAUGCCAGCCUAGUCAGAGAGGUUCCAGGAUGGCCAGGGGUACAUACACAGGGAAACCCUGUCUUGAUGAACCAAAUAAAAUAACAGAAAAGCUAAUUUUCAGAAAAGGUACAACCAUAACUCUUAUAUAGACAUAAAAACAAAUAUGUAGAGAUUUUAUUUGGCUUACUUGAUAGUCUCAAGGAAAAUCACAUAUUAAUAUGGAAUAAAGGAAAGUUAAUGAAUGUAUAGAUUCAUUUCCCAGGGGAAAUGAGCAAAGGAGGAAGGGAACCUUUUCCAACAGUCUCAACUUGGAUGUCUUGUAGUUAUCUAAGCUUGAAAAGUAAAAAACAAAAAUAGCAGUGAAAGUCAACGAGAGAGUACCAACAGGUGACUACAAAAACAUGUGUCAUUAUACUUAACAGGGCAUCCUGAUGAAACGUUUUUUUCUGCACUUCUUUGAAAAAAAAAAAAACAAAAGCAAAAGAAGCAUUAUUUUUAGAUUCACAGGAGGCUGAAAAGAUGGUAUGGAGAAGUUCCAGGGACCUUUCAUGUAGUUUUUAUAAGGAGUACAUCUUAUGUUCCUCUAGAUAUGUGCUUCGCAUGAAAUACGUGCCCUUCUGAGGUUUCACACUUAAUUUCUUGUCCUUUAGAUCUAGCUGUGUUUGUUGCAUGUUAACAGCAUUCUGGCUGUUAACAGUUUGGGUCAAUUACAUGUGCAGCCAUUCUGAACAAUACUGUGUAGGUGUUUUGUGUGGAGGUAAGCCUGUAUGGUUUUGUUUGUUUGUUUGUUUCUGUUUUUUUUUUUUUUUUUUUUUUUGAGACAGGGUUUCUAGGACAAGCUUGGCUGUCCUAGAACUUACUCUGUAGACCAGGCUGGCCUCAAACUCAAAUAUCCCCUGCCUCUGCCUCCCAAAUUCUGGGAUUAAAGGAGUGUACCACCAUUGUCCUGUAAAUUUUAUUCUUUGGGACCAAGUGGCUAAGAAUGGGUUGUUGGUGUGCUUUACUUGUCUUAAUGAUUGUUCUUACUUGUUCACAGGAUCUGAUUGGCAGCAGAGACACAGUUGUUGUUUUUUCUUCAAACCAGCAGCUGUGUAAUCCCUUUAAAAUAUAAUUGUGCUUUUGCUGGGCCUAACAGUGCACACCUUUAAUCCCAGCACUUGGGAGGCAGAGGCAGGUGGGUCUCUGUGAGUUCAAGGCCAGCCUGGUUUACAUAAUGAGUUCCACAACAGUCAGAGCUACAUAGUAAGAUCCUGUAGUGAGACUGUCUCUCAAAACAAAAACACAACUAUAUAUAUGUGUGUGUGUGUGUGUGUCUGUGUUUGUGUAUGUGUGUGUCUGUGUGUGUGUAUGUAUGUAUAUUUAUCACACACAUACCCACACAAAUACACACACACACACCAGCUUCCAUUCUCCUCUCCAUUGUCUUCCCUCUCUUCAGGACAAAAUGCAGAGUUACAGUUACUGACCUAAGGUCUUCAUGACCUGUGGCUAUCCUUUGCCUCUCAGAGCACAUUCCUUCUCCCCUUUCUGUUCCUGUCCCCACUCCAGCCUCACUGGUCUUUUUGAACAGGUCAAAGGUAUUUUAUCUGAAGCUCUUUUUCCCAGAGCGUCUACACAGGCAGCUCUUUUCCCUAUCUCCUGCUUUGCUGUGGUAUCCCUGUCUAGGUGAGGCCUUCACUAGGCUUUCUGCUUGGAGCUGUAACCCUGUCCCUCUUUUGCACACACACACACACACACACACACACACACCUGUCUAGCACUGUUCUUGUAAUGAGAAUGUAAUUCCCUUACAGGAAGGAAGCUUUGCUGUGUCUACAGCAUGUGGGAUAGUGCCUAGCACAUGGUAGAGGCAUGGCGGACUUGCGUGCGAGGGGAUGUUGUUAAGAGCUGUGGAAGCAGUUGGAGAAAGGGCUAAGGUUACGUGGGACAGAAUGGCAGCAGUCAUGCUAGGUGGAUUAGCAUGAGAAUACAGGCAGAGUCCAUUCAGGAAGCACAUGUUCUAUUGUGUACAGCUCUGGACAGUGGAAAGAUGCUCUUUGUUUUGAACUUUAAUUUUCUCAUUUACUUCUCCUAGUAGCUGGCCUUAGGAUUACUCCAGGGAGGGAGGCUCAGUCUUUUCUUCAUUCUCUCUUCCAAAUGAAGUCUGUGGCAGUUUUCUUUCCUUUCUGUAAAGGAGGGUCUGCAGAGCCUGUUUACAAAAGUGAUAUCCUUUUAAAGAGUACAUAAAGGCAGUCAUUUUUAAAAAAAUUGGAUUACUGUUUCUUUUCACUAAUAGUAUUCUACAUUCAUGAGAACUCGUGUAAAUAGUAAGAGACCCCAGUUGAGCCUACGCCUGAGGUAAGUACAGAGGAGCCUACACGUGAGGUACCGUGUAGAGCUGACAUGCAUGCCCCUGAGAUUAGCACUCCCCCAUGUCUUCCUUCCCCCUGUCCUAGUCUUCACGUCCAUUAGUUUUAUAGGAGUCUGUCUGUUCCUUGCUAGUCCACAUGGCCCCAGAGGCUGUCAGCUGUGUGCAAAAUAUCUAUUUCUUACCAGAUUCAGAAGUGUCCGCAUUGAUCACCAUUGCCUAAUUGGGUCUUGAUGAUGGAUUGUUUCAUCCAUGACCACUUCCAAUAUUAUAAUAUGAGUAUCAUUUCCCUUGAAGCAAAGAGGACUGGAAAACAAGGAGCUGAAGAGAUUUCCCCACACUCAACAGCAAAUUUGAAAAGCUUAACUGAAAAUUCUUCGAUUUAACCUAAGUGGCCGGUACCUCUUCUGAAGCUUUGUAAAUUUAACCAUUUAGUUUUUUAUUCUUCACUUGCCUUCAAUUCCUAAAGAAAAAUUUCCCCCAUGUCACCAUGGCCAGAAAUAGUAAAUGUUUGAGAUAUUUAAGAAAACAAAAUGGGAUAGUGAAGCCCAGGAGGGCAAGAAAAAAGAAAGUUUAGAAGAUAGAUAUCAGAGAGACAAAAUGCGUGUGAUCUAGUUCUCAAGUUAUUAUGGCAAGAUCAGUUUCCAUUCUGCCUCUGCUGCCUUCCUGAGGACUAUGUUAUAACUGAAUGACCAGGUCACACUGUGUCUUAGGGGUAAGCCGAGGUUUAAUCUCACAGUGCCUCAGGAGCAUGGCCUUCUAUAGAGAGGGUACAGAAGUGAGCCAGCAAAACAGUCCUAGAUACUGGCAACUUCAGCUUUUGUAAUGACACACAGAAUGCGUAUGCUAAUCCAUGCUGUUAGUCCCUCAGUCCAAAAAGCAACUGGAUUUGUGUGGUUGCCCAGGGUAUUUCAUAGCUUGCUGACACAACUGCUGUGAACAAUCAUAUUUCUGUUGACUUUGGAAACCAGUAUAAGUAUGUAUUUAUUUGUAAAAAAAAAUAAUUUUUUUUUCUAACCCGUUUUAUUUUUUCACUAUUUAGGUUGCUAGAUGCUUUGGGUCUGACACAACUCCUGGGCUGGGAAAUAUGUUUUUGUUUUGUUUGUUUUAAACUUCUUCUUCUGUCUUUGUAGAGUAGCCGGUGUUAGCUUCAUGGGUUGCAUGAAAAUUAAUAAUGACUCUUCAGGCAGUGAGACUGCUCAGUGGGUGAAGACACUGGAUACUCAACCUGAUGAUCUGAGUUCAACCUGCAGGUCCCGCACAGCAGAAGGAGAACUUAUGCCUGCAGGUUGUCCUCAUAUGCUAAAAUAAAUAA